rnacentral:tRNA from 1 species
GAAAAGUUAGUUAAAUUAUAACAUAAAAUUGUCAAUUUUAAAUUACUAUAUAUUACUAGUACUUAUCA